rnacentral:lncRNA from 1 species
AGAAGUCCUGACUGCCAAGUGACGAUAUCACAGCAGAUCAAAUGGAAACAUGGCUCAGAGGGCCAAGGGUUCUUACACACAGAGGACUUGUGGACAGAACUGCCUCAGGACUGAGUGUUUUCCAAUGAUAGCUGCUUUCAGGCAGUCAACACUCUUAAGUAGGAGACAGGAUGAGAAGAAGAAACGGCUUCCAGGUUCCCGAUGGCAACCCUCCCCCCAGAGCCUGUUGCAUGGUUGGCCUCUUACUGGAGCACACUCUAGACUGCCGUGUGGGAGACCCUUCCUUUAUUUCCUGAUUAC